UACGUAGGGGGCAAGCGUUGUCCGGAAUCAUUGGGCGUAAAGAGCGUGUAGGCGGCCAGAAAAGUCCGCUGUGAAAACUCGAGGCUCAACUUCGAGCUGUCGGUGGAAACUUUCUGGCUAGAGUCCGGAAGAGGAGAAUGGAAUUCCUGGUGUAGCGGUGAAAUGCGCAGAUAUCAGGAAGAACACCCGUGGCGAAGGCGGUUCUCUGGGACGGUACUGACGCUGAGGCGCGAAAGCGUGGGUAGCAAACAGG
rnacentral:rRNA from 1 species